CCUACGGGAGGCAGCAGUGAGGAAUAUUGGUCAAUGGGCGAAAGCCUGAACCAGCCAAGUCGCGUGAAGGAUGAAGGUUCUAUGGAUUGUAAACUUCUUUUGUCUGAGGGUAAAAAAGCGGACGUGUCCGUUCUUGCAAGUAUCAGACGAAUAAGCAUCGGCUAACUCCGUGCCAGCAGCCGCGGUAAU
rnacentral:rRNA from 1 species